rnacentral:rRNA from 1 species
CAAGCGGAAGCCGGGAAUGGAAAGCCCGGUGCAAGCGGGGUACCAGCCACUUUGGCAAAUCCGGGUGGCAAUGGGAAGCCGUGAUGCGGAGCGAAAUAAAGUAGCGAAGUCCGUGAGCCAUGCGUCAAGAAAAGCCGCUAUUGUUUAUACCGUACCCGUACCGUAAACCGACACAGGUGGAUGAGGAGAGAAUCCUAAGGCCGGCGGAAGAAGCAUUGUCAAGGAACUCGGCAAAAUGGCCCCGUAACUUAGGGAUAAGGGGUGCCUGGGAAACCAGGCCGCAGAGAAUAGGCUCAAGCAACUGUUUAGCAAAAACACAGGUCUAUGCGAAACCGAAAGGUGAGGUAUAUGGGCUGACGCCUGCCCGGUGCUGGAAGGUUAAGAGGAGAGGUUAGCGCAAGCGAAGCUUUGAAUUUAAGCCCCAGUAAACGGCGGCCGUAACGAUAACGGUCCUAAGGUAGCGAAAUUCCUUGUCGGGUAAGUUCCGACCCGCACGAAAGGCGUAAUGAUUUGAGCGCUGUCUCGACAAUGCAUCCGGUGAAAUUGAAGUACCAGUGAAGAUGCUGGUUACCUGCGCCAGGACGGAAAGACCCCAUGGAGCUUUACUCCAGUCUGGUACUGGGACUCGGUAUUGCAUGUACAGGAUAGGUGGGAGGCUAGGAGAUGGUAACGCCAGUUGCCAUGGAGCCGCUGUUGGGAUACCACCCUUGCAGUAUUGGGUUUCUAACCAGCCGCCGUGACCCGGCGGUGGGACAAUGCCAGACGGGGAGUUUGACUGGGGCGGUCGCCUCCGAAAGGGUAUCGGAGGCGCCCCAAGGUUCCCUCAGAAUGGACGGAAACCAUUCGAAGAGUGCAAAGGCAGAAGGGAGCUUGACUGCGACACCGACGGGUGGAGCAGGUACGAAAGUAGGGCUUAGUGAUCCGGUGGUAUUAAGUGGGAAUGCCAUCGCUCAACGGAUAAAAGCUACCCUGGGAUAACAGGCUUAUCACUCCCAAGAGUUCACAUCGACGGAGUGGUUUGGCACCUCGAUGUCGGCUCAUCGCAUCCUGGGGCUGUAGUAGGUCCCAAGGGUUGGGCUGUUCGCCCAUUAAAGCGGUACGCGAGCUGGGUUCAGAACGUCGUGAGACAGUUCGGUCCCUAUCCGGCGUGGGCGUAGGAUAUCUGAGAGGAGCUGUCCUUAGUACGAGAGGACCGGGAUGGACGGGCCGCUGGUGCAUCGGUUAGACUGCCAAGUCUACGGCCGAGUAGCCAAGCCCGGAAGGGAUAAACGCUGAAGGCAUCUAAGCGUGAAGCCCCCCUUAAGAUGAGAUAUCCCAUUCGAAAGAAGUAAACCCCCUUGAAGACGACGAGGUAGAUAGGGCAGAGGUGGAAGUGCAGCAAUGCAUGGAGCUGACUGUUACUAAUCGGGUGAGGGCUUGACCAA